rnacentral:rRNA from 1 species
CGGUAAUACCAGCUCUCCGAGUGGUAGGGAUGAUUAUUGGGCUUAAAGCGUCCAUAGCCGGCUUGGCAAGUCUUCUGUUAAAUUCAGCGACUUAAUCGUUGAGCCGCGGGAGAUACUACUAGGCUAGGAGGCGGGAGAGGCCGACGGUAUUCCCGGGGUAGGGGUGAAAUCCUAUAAUCCCGGGAGGACCACCAGUGGCGAAGGCUGUCGGCUAGAACGCG